UUCAGACUGUAGCAGGAGUGAUGCCCUCUCCCCAUGGUCCAUCAAGCUCUAUCUACAAGAUGAGUCUCAGGUGACUGAGUACCAUCCUCUAGAUGGGAGCAGGGAGGGAUAUAAAAUAGAAAUGUUGACAAGGCAAAGAGAAUGAUGCCCCCAAGGCCAUUGUGGUUCUACAGACUUAUGUUUGUGCUCGAGUUAGAGCAGGAUGAGGUUGGAGAUGAGGCUUAUUGAGUUACAGGGGAUAGCGGUAGUUCCGAAAGGACAGGGACAUCUGGUUUUCGGAAGGCAUCUUGGAGAUUUCAUCACGGGGCAAUUGAAGCUCAGAGAGAAGUGGCUUGACCAAGGCCCCACAGCGGGCUCCAAUACAGCUCUGAAAGGCACUGAGAAAACCUAACAUAUCUGAGGGCCUAGCUUCUGGCCUGGCUUUUACAUGGUCAGUGGAUGUGCAUCCAUGCCCCCUGCACUCGUUUCCCUUGUCCUUUCUGUGGCUCUCCUGGAUUCCUCUCUUUCAGCUUCUUGGUGUACAGAGCCCAUGUCAAUGGCAAUGGUGAAGGAAAUUGCCAGAGCCCUGCCCUCCAGGCCUGUCCUUAUUCAUGGGGAUCUGAGAAGAAGAGAUUAGGACCCAGACAUGCACAGAGGAGACCCUGUAAGGACACAAGGAGAAGACAGCCAUCUACAAGCCAAGAAGAAAGGCCUUGGGAGAAACCAGCCCUGCCCACACCUUGAUCUGGACUUCAGCUGAUUCUUGGAUGAGGUGGUCCUUAGGCGCGGAGACAGGACUGUGAGAAAAUAAAUUUCGUUUUUAAUUCA